AUGUAUAUAUAUAUUAACAAGGAGAUAAUGUACCAUUGUAUAUGUCUUUUUCUUAUUUUCUGGUCAAAAAAGGAUGUUUUACCAUUAUUCGUUUAACAUUCAUGAACAAUGGGAUCAUUUGAACCCGGAAUGUACAGAGCUGAAAGAAACACCACAAGGCAUUUUCCCCAACACUUUUAUGAUUCUGGCAGUCACCAUUAUUCACCACCUUCCAUUUAUUAACUCAUAUUAUUUGUAUAAUCAAAGAGAAGAGAGAAAAACAAGCAAUUUGCCCAUUGCAACUUUUUCUAGAAUUCUUUUUUAUGUUUCUUAAAGGCACAAAAAAGUUGACAAAGACAUUUGUUUUGAUAUUUUGACUCCCUAUAUUUACUGAACCCUUUAGCAAUCAGUUUACUCUCUCAGAUGUGAUGCUUAUGACUCACAUUGUCUUAGAGCCUCAGGAUUUCAAUGACGUGAUUGUUUAUUUUUAGAAUGACUUUGUUGGAUAGGUGUGAGAGGUCAGAUCCGGUUGAUUUGAAUGUAGAAUGGACAGAAUAUUUGGACCUGACGUGGCUAAAGGGUUUUCUAUUCCUAAAAAAUAUAGGGAAUGUGUAUUUUUAUGUUCCAACUUAAUUAAUAACAACUUUUCUUUACAAAUUUAUUAAUUUCUUUAAAUUUUAACAUUUUCAUCUUAAUUUUUUUCUGCUAAUUUUAAUAUUCAGUACAGAAAUAGUUAUUUAUGUUGAUAUAAAAUAAGUAUGCUUCUGACAAGAUGAAUCAGUGGCUGUAGUUUCAAUUCCUACCAGAAUGCUAUUCAUUUUAGCUUUUUUUUUUAUUAAUGCUCCAGCAACAAGAAAGGCAUAGAUGUCACAACUUCACUUUUUAAAUUCUCAAACAUAAAUAAGAAGGUGUAGACAACAUUUGAGUUGCAUGUGUAUUCUCUCUCUUUCUCCAACUUUGUCUCAUUCCCUCUCUUCCUCUUUGUAUGUGUGUGUAUAGACAUACACACAUACACACACACAAGAGCUCAGUCUUGUUAGAAGCAUACAAUAUGAAAAACUUGGCUCUGAUGUAUUUUUAAUAAUUUUCUCUUUCUAAUUUGCUGUUGUUUUUAUGUGGUUUUUAAAUUCUACUUCAAAAUUUCAUUAUUUCUCCUAAAUAUUCCAUCUCUAUUUUGUGUGAAUGUUUCAAUCCCUUCCCAGAGUCUUUUUUUUUUUAGUUAAAUUUCUUCAUUUUCAAUUCUUAAAAGUCAUUUGUAUUUUGUCAAAAAAUGAACUGGUUGUCCAUUGAUCCUGCCUGGUGUUGUAUAAUAUUAGUUUUCAACUGACAUCAUCAUCAUCAUCUUCAUCAUCAUUAACAUAAUACAAUUAAUACAACGCAAACAGAAUCAUAAGUCAGUUCCACUUUUGAUUAAAAGAAAAAAACACAAAAAGAAAGGAACAAAACUAAACAAACAAUGCUAUUUAAAAAUUGGAUAUGGAAAGAAUUUUAACGAGUCCCCAGGUAUUUAUGAGAAAGUGUGAAUGUAUAACGAUGGUGUGUAUAUUUACUUAGAUGUAUACAUGUAUGUAGAAUGGAUAUUUUCUAUAGAAUCUUUGUUGGUGUGUAUAUUUAAUCUCUAGUUAUUAUUUAUUACUAAUAUAUAAAGUAAAAAAAAACAAUGUAUAAAUAUAAGUAAAAAAUAUAUAAAUAUAAAUAAAUAAACCAAUGAAUGUUAAGCCCGGUGUUUAAGCAGGCUGAAAGCUUUGGAAGAGACGUUGAGGAGACGCAAAUUCGCAAACACCAGCGCUGCUUGUACAGAAAUUAAUGUUUAGUCUUCGAGAAGGGAACAACAAAGGUGAAGGAUGGAAGUUCGACUUAAGACAGGAAUUUAUACCAUAAUUCUAAUCUUUGCAAAUAUUUUGUAAAUAAAAUUAUGGAAUUCUUUAUUAUUCCAGCCCAACUCAUUGCCCCAUGGGAGUUUUUUACCCAUCAUUGCUUAGAUUUAAUCUAAACUUUUGUUUUUAUUUUGGUAGUAUUGUUUGUUGGAUGUUGUUGAAUAUUAAAAAUUUCACUUUUUUUUUUUUAAGUGUCCCUGGAUAAAAUGAUUCAAUUUAUAUCAUGAGCUGAAUAUCCCAAACCAUGAAGCCACACACCAACAGGCUGAUCACCUUUAAAAUAAAGCCCCACCAGUUUUACUUAUAGAUAUUCCAUUGCUAUUGUAUGGAAUGUGAAAAAGAGCAUUUUGGCCAUUAAACAUCAUUACUGGAUGAUUGACACAAAUAAUGAAACUAAAAAUCUACAUGAAUAUAAGUAAACUGCAUCUAUACAGAUAUUUGUACUUCUGCCUUCCACCUCAUUGCUCCCUGUAUCCCCAGCACUGGUAUAAAAUCCCUGAGGGUUGGCAGCUCCCAGUUUGAGAAGCACUGCACUAGUUACUUGUAAUAUGUAACAGUUCAUUCAUUCUGUAUGUGUUUGCCUUUCAAUGAAUAAUGAAUAAUCAUACAUACUGUUGAAGAUUGAUGUAGCAAAGACUAAAGACAUAGCAUGUAGUGAUGUAAAGACAUGAAAGAAUGAGGGUUAAAUGUUGGCAACAGUAAAAGCGCAGGGGUUGAAAGUCCCUGAGGAAUUCCUGUUGCUAAAAAUGGUAUAAAUGUGAUAACAACUGUUACAACAAAUGGAUGACUAGCAAUAUUUCAAGUAAAGCAGAGAUUCAAGAUGAAAAUAGGACGACUUCUAAUCUAGAGAGAAACGAGGGAUGCUGUUUAAAUUUGUAUUAAAAAAUGGUAAAAGAUGUUAGCAUUUGUUGAGCCCUUGGACAUUAAAUUCACUGAAUGAAGAGUGCAUAAUAGAAUCUAUAUUGGCCUCUGUGCUGGUGGCACAUAAAAAGCAUCUCUGAAUGUUGUUGUUGCCUGGCUUGCCUUACUGGCUCUGAUGCCAGUGGCACGUAAAAAGCACCAACCAAUCAUGAACAAUGCCAGUGACGCCUGACUGGCUCCUGUACCAGUGGCAUGUAAAAAGCACCCACUACACUCUCAGAGUGGUUGGCAUUAGGAAGGGCAUCCAACUGUAGAAACACUGCCAGAUCAAACUGGUGCAGCCUUCUGGCUCUCCAGACCUCAGUCAAACUGUCCAUCCUCUGCCAGUAGGGAAAACGGGCAUUAAUUGACGAUGAUGAUGACAAUGACUAUAUAUUGGUAAGUGUAUAAUAAGAUAUAUCUGACUCUAUUAUAUAGACAAAAAGUGCAACUGAUUUGUAUGUUUCAGGGAGAAUAUAAUGCAUCUCAUCAGAAAAGGUAGGGAAAAGGUGCAAUGCACAUCGAAUAAUGUACAGAGACAGGAAGAGGGAGUCAGUCACAAAACAAGAACCUCAGAUGUAGUUUUGGUGAAUUUCAGGAAGCACGGAAGCUUUGAAGGAUGUUGUGUCCGGACAGUUAACAACUGAUGCAGGUAGUCUAUUCCAUGCUUCAGCAAUUCUGAGCAUCAAAACGAGUCCAUGGAUGUUAAAUUCACUAAAUAAUAAUGUGUAACAAGAUAUUUUAUCAUGAUUGCGUUAUUGUAUUAAUAAGUGUGUACAAUAA